rnacentral:snoRNA from 1 species
GAGUAAAACUUUCCUUAUACAAUUUGAGCUUGCUAUAGCAAAAAAUUCUAACUAGUUCCAGUGUUCUCUUCUUCAUGAGACAAGCCAUUAUAUAGGCUCAAACUAU